rnacentral:rRNA from 1 species
AUUGAACGCUGGCGGCAGGCCUAACACAUGCAAGUCGAGCGAGCGGCGGACGGGUGAGUAAGGUCUGGGAAACUGCCUGAUGGAGGGGGAUAAAUACUGGGAACGGUAGCUAAAAACGCCAUCCAUCAGAUGUGCCCAGAUGGGAUUAGCGAGUAGGUGGGGGAAUGGCUAACCUAGGCGACGAUCCCGAGCUGGCCUGAGAGGAUGACCAGCCACACUGGAACUGAGACACGGCCCAGACUCCUACGGGAGGCAGCAGUGGGGAAUAUUGCACAAUGGGCGAAAGCCUGAUCGAGCCAUGCCGCGUGUAUGAAGAAGGCCUUCGGGUUGUAAAGCACUUUCAGCGGGGAGGCGUUACCCGCAGAAGAAGCACCGGCUAACUACGUGCCAGCAGCCGCGGUAAUUC